rnacentral:rRNA from 1 species
GAUGAACGCUGGCGGCGUGCUUAACACAUGCAAGUCGAACGGUGAAGGCGGAGCUUGCUCUGCUGGAUCAGUGGCGAACGGAUGAGUAACACGUGAGCAAUCUGCCCCUGACUCUGGGAUAAGCGCUGGAAACGGCGUCUAAUACUGGAUACGAGCUGCGAAGGCAUCUUCAGCAGCUGGAAAGAACUUCGGUCAGGGAUGAGCUCGCGGCCUAUCAGCUUGUUGGUGAGGUAACGGCUCACCAAGGCGUCGACGGGUAGCCGGCCUGAGAGGGUGACCGGCCACACUGGGACUGAGACACGGCCCAGACUCCUACGGGAGGCAGCAGUGGGGAAUAUUGCACAAUGGGCGAAAGCCUGAUGCAGCAACGCCGCGUGAGGGACGACGGCCUUCGGGUUGUAAACCUCUUUUAGCAGGGAAGAAGCGAAAGUGACGGUACCUGCAGAAAAAGCGCCGGCUAACUACGUG